rnacentral:lncRNA from 1 species
GUCCUGGAAGCUUGGUGAAGCAUUGAACCCUAAAACAGCUUAGCACGGCCAAAACAUGGCAAGAAGCAGAAACUUGGAGGAUUUUAGGCAUGUCUGGUUGUCAUUUGUAACAUCGCGGUCAUUGCUUUUGGCCAGGCUGGCAACACCUUGGAAGAUGCCAAGGCAAUUUCUGGCAGAGGAAUGCUGCUGAGGAUCAUCCUGUCUGUUGGGUUCAAUUUCAACAGGCUUUUCCCUGAUGUGAAUGCCUCUGGAAAUCCUGCCUACCCCCAUGUUCCAGCUACCAAAGCCUCACCAGGGUUCAGAGUGCUCUCACCAACUGCGGUCUCACUGUGAUGGGGUGGAGGAGCCACACUCUGCUCCCAGCUCAGCUGCAGUCUCCUGCUUUUCUAUCAGCCCUGACAGCCAGCCUGCAGCAAACCCUGCAUGACAUGUGCUGAGGUAAGAGAGAGGGAAAGCUUGGAUCAAAGCUGUGUUUGCACGUUCUGGUAAGCUCUGAUUGUAUCUGGUUGUCUGACAAGUCACUUUUACACUCCUUGGGUAUGUUUCAGAGGGAAAAGGGAGAGCUGUGCUUUGUCAUAGGCGUGUUCAGUGGUAACCUGCAGCAGUGUGAAGGGUGGUGAGAUGAGACAAUGUGCUUUGUUAAGGAAAACCCACCUGGCAAUGGGCCACAGACUGCUGGAGGCAGCCUGCUCGCAGUGACCGUGCCAGUGGGGAGGGUUGGACCCAGCCUUCCCAAACCCACAAGUGCCUGUCUCCUGGCAUGGCACCUCUGCCUGUGCUCCACGCUGCUUUGAGUGAGCCCUGCCCUCCACACCUGUCACAUUUGGGGCUGGCAUCACCAGCAGCUCCCCUGAGAGGCUGAACUGUGACAGAGUUCACAGGGGUCUGAUGAUGAGGGAAGAGAUGAGGAUCUGACUCCAUGUUUCAAUUUAUUAUAUUAUGAUAUAUAUUAUAUUAAAACUAUCCUAAAAUAUAGAAGAAAUUAUUUCCUCAGAAGGCCAGCUAAGAAUAGAAUAGGAAGGAAUGAUAACAAAGGUUUGUGGCUCGGACUCUCUGUCCAAGCCAGCUGACUGUGAUUGGCCAUUAAUUAGAAACAACUCUAUGAGACCAAUCACAGAUCCACCUGUUGCAUUCCACAGCAGCAGAUAAUCAUUGUUCACAUUUUGUUCCUGAGGCCUCUCAGCUUCUCAGGAGGAAAAAUACUAAG